GACGAACGCUGGCGGCGUGCUUAACACAUGCAAGUCGAACGGAAAGGCCCUGCUUUUGUGGGGUGCUCGAGUGGCGAACGGGUGAGUAACACGUGAGUAACCUGCCCUUGACUUUGGGAUAACUUCAGGAAACUGGGGCUAAUACCGGAUAGGAGCUCCUGCUGCAUGGUGGGGGUUGGAAAGUUUCGGCGGUUGGGGAUGGACUCGCGGCUUAUCAGCUUGUUGGUGGGGUAGUGGCUUACCAAGGCUUUGACGGGUGGCCGGCCUGAGAGGGUGAACAGGGACGUGAGGACUGAGAGAGGGAGCAGUCUCGUAUAGUGGGCAACAGUGGCGAGCAUGGCACAGUGAGGGCGAGCGUGAUGAGGAGACGCCCGGUGUGGGAAGCACGUCUUCGGGGUAAGAACCGCUGUCGGUUGAGACGCAGUGUGCAUGACGGUACCCGGAGAAGAAGCACCGGCUAACUACGUG
rnacentral:rRNA from 1 species